rnacentral:rRNA from 1 species
GGUUACUGCUAUCGGUGUUCGCCUAAGCCAUGCGAGUCGUAUGUUCUUCGGAACAUGGCGUACUGCUCAGUAACACGUGGAUAACCUGCCCUUGGGUCCGGCAUAACCCCGGGAAACUGGGGAUAAUUCCGGAUAACGCACAUAUGCUGGAAUGCUUUAUGCGUCAAAUGGAUUCGUCCGCCCAAGGAUGGGUCUGCGGCCUAUCAGGUAGUAGUGGGUGUAAUGUACCUACUAGCCUACGACGGGUACGGGUUGUGAGAGCAAGAGCCCGGAGAUGGAUUCUGAGACAUGAAUCCAGGCCCUACGGGGCGCAGCAGGCGCGAAAACUUUACAAUGCGGGAAACCGUGAUAAGGGGACACCGAGUGCCAGCAUCAUAUGUUGGCUGUCCGGGUGUGUAAAAUACACCUGUUAGCAAGGGCCGGGCAAGACCGGUGCCAGCCGCCGCGGUAACACCGGCGGCCCGAGUGGUGAUCGUGAUUAUUGGGUCUAAAGGGUCCGUAGCCGGUUUGGUCAGUCCUCCGGGAAAUCUGACGGCUUAACCGUUAGGCUUUCGGGGGAUACUGCCAGACUUGGAACCGGGAGAGGUAAGAGGUACUACAGGGGUAGGAGUGAAAUCUUGUAAUCCCUGUGGGACCACCUGUGGCGAAGGCGUCUUACCAGAACGGGUUCGACGGUGAGGGACGAAAGCUGGGGGCACGAACCGGAUUAGAUACCCGGGUAGUCCCAGCCGUAAACGAUGCUCGCUAGGUGUCAGGCAUGGCGCGACCGUGUCUGGUGUCGCAGGGAAGCCGUGAAGCGAGCCACCUGGGAAGUACGGCCGCAAGGCUGAAACUUAA